UUUGUCCGCCAGGUUUGCUACCAAUCUUAUGGUAUGGCUUAAAUAUCACUUAUAUUAUGUUACAUUUAUUGUAUACUAUAUUGCUCCGUCGACAAAAUACACAAGUAUUCAGGUCUUAAACGGCGUUACCAUGUACGGUCACGAGCAUUAAUAUGUAUACACUUUGGUCUAUCUUACUAUGUCACAUUAACUUUUUUGACAAAUUGAACUGUAAGUCUCUUUAAAUGUCAAAUAUGUUAGUGCGACAGAGUCCUAAAGUGGGUGGGUAUUGCUCAUGACUGUACAGGAAUCAGCACGAGUAUUAGGUUUGUAUUUCCAAAUUGUUUGUAAUUAAUUCCCCUCAUUUGAAGUGAUUUCUGCAUUUAUUUGAUUUUUAAUUACGCUUAAAUAAAAAAAUGAUUUUAAAAUAU